rnacentral:rRNA from 1 species
CCUACGGGUGGCAGCAGUGGGGAAUAUUGGGCAAUGGGCGCAAGCCUGAACCAGCAACGCCGCGUGCAGGAAGAAGGCUCUCGGGUUGUUAACUUCUUUUGUCAGGGACGAAGCAAGUGACGGUACCUGACGAAUAAGCCACGGCUAACUACGUGCCAGCAGCCGCGGGAUUCCGUAGGUGGCAAGCGUUAUCCGGAUUUACUGGGUGUAAAGGGCGUGUAGGCGGGGAAGCAAGUCAGAUGUGAAAACCACGGGCUCAACCUGUGGCCUGCAGUUGAAACUGUCUUUCUUGAGUGCUGGAGAGGCAAGCGGAAUGCCUGGUGUAGCGGUGAAAUGCGUAGAUAUACGGAGGAACACCGGUGGCGAAGGCGGAUUGCUGGACAGUAACUGACGCUGAGGCGCGAAAGCGUGGGGAGCAAACAGGAUUAGAUACCCGAGUAGUC